rnacentral:rRNA from 1 species
UAAGUUAGUUAUAGUUUAUUUAUGUGUAAAGCAAUAUAUUAGUUAGUAUUAUUUAGAAAACUUUGUUAUAUUAUGUACUGUGAAGGACCCAUGUUAUUUUUGUAAAAGAAAUAAUUAGUAUUUGCACCUUGUGUAUUAGGGGUACUUAAAAUAAUAAAUAAGCUAUUUUUCCCGAUAUAUUUGUGGGCUAAAAAUUUAUUAUAUUAGUGUGGCAUAAUUAAUAUUAAUUUAUUUCUAGGGAUGAUAUAUUAUUCAAACAAUAAGGUUUCUGGUUCUUUAAGAAUUUAAUUAAAUUAAAGUUAAGUUUUAUUUAAAUUUAAUUGAUACCUAUAAAGGGAUAAACUUUUAUGGGUAAUUUAUAUAGCCCCACAUUAUUUAAAUUAUUUAGAUUUAAAAUUGAUCUAAUUUUUACAAUGUUAUAAUGAGGUUUUAGUUUAAAUUAUUUUAAUCGGGUGUUAUGUUUUGUAUUAAAGUAUUUUGAUAAUUGAUGUAUAAUAACAAUAAUGAGUAUAUUAGUAGUAUUUUGAUUAAUUAAGCUGGCUAUACAGGUAAAUUAGCCUAAGGAAUUCAGCAAAUUUAUUUUCUCGCCUGUUUAGCAAAAACAUGGUUUUUUGGUUUUAAGUAAAAAAUCAGGCCUGCCCACUGAUAAAUUAAAGGGCUGCAGUAUUUUGACUGUACAAAGGUAGCAUAAUCAUUAGUCUUUUAAUUGGGGACUGGUAUGAAAGGUUCGACGGGAAGCAGCUGUCUCAGGCUUAAAGCUAUAAAUUUUAUUUUUAGGGGAAAGGGCCUAAAUUAGACAAAGGGACGAGAAGACCCUAUUAAAUUUUAUUUUUAAUAAAUAAAAUUUUAUUUAAAUAAAAGUUUUAUUUACUAAAUAAUUUUGCUGGGGCGGCAAGUAAUUAACAUUAUUAAUUUGUAAUUUAUUAGAAAACGUUAUUGUGAUCCAUUUUGGGUGACAUGAAGACUAAGUUACUAUAGGGAUAACAGCGUAAUAUUUUUUGAGAGUUCAUAUUGACAAAAGUGUUUGCGACCUCGAUGUUGGAUUAAGAAGUCUUACUGAUGCAGUAGUUGGUAUAGAAGGUCUGUUCGACCUUUAAAUUCUUACAUGAUCUGAGUUCAGACCGGCGUAAGCCAGGUCGGUUUCUAUCUUUUGUUAUAAGUUUUUAAAUUAGUACGAAAGGACCAUUUAAUGUAAAAUUUUUAUUUAAGGCGAUUUAAGUAAAAUUGUGUGAAAAUAGAGAGUAGUUAUUUUGGCAGAUUAGUGCACCGAAUUUAGAAUUCGCC